CAGGCUCCGGUUCACGUCGUCGCGACAUGCGGCGGCGACCCGGCGGCC
rnacentral:ncRNA from 1 species